UCCAGGCAAAUCCGGAUAACCAAGGCUGAGGUGUGAUGACGAGGCACUACGGUGCUGAAGUAACAAAUGCCCUGCUUCCAGGAAAAGCCUCUAAGCAUCAGGUAACAUCAAAUCGUACCCCAAACCGACACAGGUGGUCAGGUAGAGAAUACCAAGGCGCUUGAGAGAACUCGGGUGAAGGAACUAGGCAAAAUGGUGCCGUAACUUCGGGAGAAGGCACGCUGGUGUGUAGGUGAAGCCCCUGCGGGUGGAGCUGAGACCAGUCGAAGAUACCAGCUGGCUGCAACUGUUUAUUAAAAACACAGCACUGUGCAAACACGAAAGUGGACGUAUACGGUGUGACGCCUGCCCGGUGCCGGAAGGUUAAUUGAUGGGGUUAUCCGUAAGGAGAAGCUCUUGAUCGAAGCCCCGGUAAACGGCGGCCGUAACUAUAACGGUCCUAAGGUAGCGAAAUUCCUUGUCGGGUAAGUUCCGACCUGCACGAAUGGCGUAAUGAUGGCCAGGCUGUCUCCACCCGAGACUCAGUGAAAUUGAACUCGCUGUGAAGAUGCAGUGUACCCGCGGCAAGACGGAAAGACCCCGUGAACCUUUACUAUAGCUUGACACUGAACAUUGAGCCUUGAUGUGUAGGAUAGGUGGGAGGCUUUGAAGCGUGGACGCCAGUCUGCGUGGAGCCAACCUUGAAAUACCACCCUUUAAUGUUUGAUGUUCUAACGUUGGCCCCUUACCGGGGUUGCGGACAGUGUCUGGUGGGUAGUUUGACUGGGGCGGUCUCCUCCCAAAGCGUAACGGAGGAGCACGAAGGUUAGCUAAUCCUGGUCGGACAUCAGGAGGUUAGUGCAAUGGCAUAAGCUAGCUUGACUGCGAGCGUGACGGCGCGAGCAGGUGCGAAAGCAGGUCAUAGUGAUCCGGUGGUUCUGAAUGGAAGGGCCAUCGCUCAACGGAUAAAAGGUACUCCGGGGAUAACAGGCUGAUACCGCCCAAGAGUUCAUAUCGACGGCGGUGUUUGGCACCUCGAUGUCGGCUCAUCACAUCCUGGGGCUGAAGUAGGUCCCAAGGGUAUGGCUGUUCGCCAUUUAAAGUGGUACGCGAGCUGGGUUUAGAACGUCGUGAGACAGUUCGGUCCCUAUCUGCCGUGGGCGCUGGAGAAUUGAGGGGGGCUGCUCCUAGUACGAGAGGACCGGAGUGGACGCAUCACUGGUGUUCGGGUUGUCAUGCCAAUGGCACUGCCCGGUAGCUAAAUGCGGAAGAGAUAAGUGCUGAAAGCAUCUAAGCACGAAACUUGCCCCGAGAUGAGUUCUCCCUGAGACUUUAAGUCUCCUGAAGGAACGUUGAAGACGACGACGUUGAUAGGCCGGGUGUGUAAGCGCAGCGAUGCGUUGAGCUAACCGGUACUAAUGAACCGUGAGGCUUAACCUUACAACGCCGAAG
rnacentral:rRNA from 1 species